rnacentral:rRNA from 1 species
CAGUCGCCGCGGUAAUACGUAGGGUGCAAGCGUUAAUCGGAAUUACUGGGCGUAAAGCGUGCGCAGGCAGUUUGUUAAGACAGAUGUGAAAUCCCCGGGCUCAACCUGGGAACUGCAUUUGUGACUGGCAAGCUAGAGUGUGGCAGAGGGGGGUGGAAUUCCGCGUGUAGCUGUGAAAUGCGUAGAUAUGCGGAGGAACACCGAUGGCGAAGGCAGCCCCCUGGGCCAACACUGACGCUCAUGCACGAAAGCGUGGGGAGCAAACAGGAUUAGAUACCCCAGUAGUCCCUGUCUCUUAUAC